UACGAAGGGGGCUAGCGUUGCUCGGAAUCACUGGGCGUAAAGGGUGCGUAGGCGGGUCUUUAAGUCAGGGGUGAAAUCCUGGAGCUCAACUCCAGAACUGCCUUUGAUACUGAAGAUCUUGAGUUCGGGAGAGGUGAGUGGAACUGCGAGUGUAGAGGUGAAAUUCGUAGAUAUUCGCAAGAACACCAGUGGCGAAGGCGCCUAUCUGGCUGACAACUGACGCUGAGACUCGAAAGCAUGGGGAGCAAACAGG
rnacentral:rRNA from 1 species